CUUUGGACAACUGGUUUAAAAAAGAUCUCAAGUCUUAUGGGAGGAAAAAGCAUCCCCAAAGUCACAUUUUUGCAUUGGUUUAUGUUGCUUGAUUAGACUAUCUUCACAGAGCACAAUGCUGUACAUUUAUAGCUUUAAUUUGUAUUAUGUUAAUGAACCAGUGAAGUGCCUAAAGAGAUGCUCACAGCUAUCCGGUAGGACACGACUGCACUGCUUAAACACUUUUUGGUUAACUAAGGGUGACUUGAAUUUUACACAAACAUACUAAUUUUUUUUUAAAAAAUCCAUUUUUUUCACAGUAAAGAAGAUAAAUUUUUCCGUUAGCAUUCCCACAAAAAUUGUAUUUUAGACUUGUAAUCUAGGACUUAACUUUGUCUUUCCUCUCAUGAAAGAAUUGUGGGCUAGUGUUCUCGUCAAUCAUUUUCCCCUUCCAUUUAUCAUUCUUUUCUGGUACAAUCCAUUAGGUUGCUUUCUGUUAGGCUUUGUUCUAGGUAAGAAAAUAGCAAGAUGACUGUACACCUAUGAAUAUAAGGUAGUUCUGCAUUUUUAGAUUCCAGGAUCUUGUUUGAAAUCUUCCAUGUGAGGGAAAAAACUGCUAAUAUUUUUCAAGACAGGGUGGUUUAUUUAAAAAGAUUAUUCAAAGAACUCAUGCCAGAUCGAGUCUGUUUUGUUUAUUGCAUAUACCAUAUGUUGAUGUUAUUCCAUAUCACAUUAUAUAGAUAGGUACUAACUACAAAGAAAGUAUUUAGGGGAAUGGCAAAAUAUGAAUGACAACAUGCAUGUCCAUUUGACUUCCCUAAUUUUAGAACUUUCAAGUUGAGGAUACCCUUUACUCUUGACAUUUUGUUUUUUUUAACUAGAAUUCUUUCAGCUAAUAUCCCUUUGUUUUUGUGCAGGUGACCUGUAUUAGAGGUUGAAAAAUAAUUUAUAUAUUGAAAAGGAGGAAAAAUUCUCAUAGAACAUCAUAAGAGCUUUAAACCAAAAGGGGAAACAAGGUUUAAGUAACUAAAAUGGCCACUUAGUUUUUGUUUUUGCAUUGCCCACCCCAGAAAUGUAAGUAGUUGAAGUUUGGGUUAUGGGAAUAUUAUUAGUGCCUUUACUAGAUCUCUUUCCUAGCAAAGUUUCUUUUUAGCUUAGCAUAGAUGUAUCUUAUCGCUAAUCAGGAAAAUCAGUUGACUUGGAACUAUAAACAAAAAUAAAACAAGAUAUUUAUGAACCUCACUGAAUCAGCCUAGAAAAAUUGACUUUGGAGGUGCCAAAGCACCUGCCAAGAUGCAGCCUGCACAGCCUUCUAGGUUGUGAAUACCAUUUGUACAGCGAGUUUGCUGUGAAUUUCAGCUACUGCAAACUUGAAAUUCUGAUGCGGUUUUCCAGGGUGGUAUUUUUUCAGAGUAUUGAAUUUACUAUGUAGUAAUUUAUAGUAUAGCUUUUUAUAUUAAAAUGUGAUAUUUUUUAAAAGAGCUCUCUGGUUCAAUUGGUGUCAUGAUGUGACUAUACGAUCUGCUAACCUACCCCUUGGGCUCACAUUGUGCCAAACUGAGAUGUACACAUGUACGUGAAAAAAACAAAAAGCACAUGUGAAUGUGAAGUCUCUAACUCCGUUGCUUAUUAUUUUCAAAUUAGUCUAAUAAUCC
rnacentral:lncRNA from 1 species